AUACGGAGGGUGCAAGCGUUAAUCGGAAUUACUGGGCGUAAAGCGUACGUAGGCGGUUCGUUAAGUUAGAUGUGAAAGCCCCGGGCUUAACCUGGGAACUGCAUUUAAAACUGGCGAACUAGAGUUGAGUAGAGGGGAGUGGAAUUUCAGGUGUAGCGGUGAAAUGCGUAGAGAUCUGAAGGAACUCCAGUGGCGAAGGCGGCUCCCUGGACUCAAACUGACGCUGAGGUACGAAAGCGUGGGUAGCAAACGGGAUUAGAAACCCUAGUAGUCC
rnacentral:rRNA from 1 species